rnacentral:rRNA from 1 species
AUUGAACGCUGGCGGCAGGCCUAACACAUGCAAGUCGAACGGCAGCACAGAAGAGCUUGCUCUUUGGGUGGCGAGUGGCGGACGGGUGAGUAAUGUCUGGGAAACUGCCCGAUGGAGGGGGAUAACUACUGGACACGGUAGCUAAUACCGCAUAACGUCGCGAGACCAAAGUGGGGGACCUUCGGGCCUCACACCAUCGGAUGUGCCCAGAUGGGAUUCGCUAGUAGGUGGGGUAAUGGCUCACCUAGGCGACGAUCCCUAGCUGGUCUGAGAGGAUGACCAGCCACACUGGAACUGAGACACGGUCCAGACUCCUACGGGAGGCAGCAGUGGGGAAUAUUGCACAAUGGGCGCAAGCCUGAUGCAGCCAUGCCGCGUGUAUGAAGAAGGCCUUCGGGUUGUAAAGUACUUUCAGCGGGGAGGAAGGCGGUGAGGCUAAUAACCUCGCCGAUUGACGUUACCCGCAGAAGAAGCACCGGCUAACUCCGUGCCAGCAGCCGCCGUAA